rnacentral:rRNA from 1 species
UAAUACGGAGGGUGCAAGCGUUGUCCGGAAUCAUUGGGCGUAAAGAGUUCGUAGGCGGUAUGUUAAGUCUGGUGUUAAAGACCGAAGCUCAACUUCGGAUAGGCACUGGAUACUGGCAAACUUGAAUGUGGUAGAGGUAAAGGGAAUUCCUGGUGUAGCGGUGAAAUGCGUAGAUAUCAGGAGGAACAUCGGUGGCGAAAGCGCUUUACUGGGCCAUAAUUGACGCUGAGGAACGAAAGCCAGGGUAGCAAAUGGG